rnacentral:rRNA from 1 species
UGGGGAAUUUUGCGCAAUGGGGGAAACCCUGACGCAGCAACGCCGCGUGAGUGAUGAAGGCCUUCGGGUCGUAAAGCUCUGUCAGAGGGAAAGAAAUGUAGCGUGGCUAAUAUCCAUGUUACUUGACGGUACCCUCAAAG